rfam:Myotis brandtii contig222083, whole genome shotgun sequence.
GGAGGUUCUCAGGUGAUGCACCCCAGAAUCGGGCUCCCUCCUCUCUGGUUCUGGGUGCCUCACGGGAGAACUGCA